GUAACGGCGAGUGAAGCGGCAACAGCUCAUUUGAAAUCUGGCCCCUCGGAGGGUCCGAGUUGUCAUCUGCAGAGGAUGCUUCGGGCAACGCCGCGCUCCAACCCGCUUGGGACAGCGGGCCACAGAGGGUGAGAGUCCCGUCCAGGACCGCGUGCCGCCCCCGUGUGAAGCUCCUUCGACGAGUCGAGUUGUUUGGGAAUGCAGCUCAAAGCGGGUGGUAAAUUCCAUCUAAAGCUAAAUACGGGCCAGAGACCGAUAGCGCACAAGUAGAGUGAUCGAAAGAUGAAAAGCACUUUGAAAAGAGAGUUAAACAGUAUGUGAAAUUGUUGAAAGGGAAGCGCUGGCGACCAGACCUGCGGGCGGCGGUUCCCCCGGCCUCGUCGACCGGGCUCCUCCGUCGCCCCCAGGCCAACAUCGGUUCGGGUGGCCGGUGAAAGGCCCCGGGAACGUAUCUGCCUCUGGGCCGACUUAUAGCCCGGGGUGUCAUGCGGCCCAUCCGGACCGAGGAACGCGCUCCGGCGAGGAUGUUGGCGUAAUGGUGGUCAGCGGCCCGUCUUGAAACACGGACCAAGGAGUCUAACAUCCAUGCGAGUGUUUGGGUGUCAAACCCCGGCGCGGAAUGAAGGUGAACGGAGGUGAGAGCCCGGCGGGGGCGCAUCAUCGACCGAUCCGGAUGUCUUCGGAUGGAUUUGAGUAAGAGCAUGGCUGUUGGGACCCGAAAGAUGGUGAACUAUGCCCGGAUAGGGUGAAGCCAGAGGAAACUCUGGUGGAGGCUCGCAGCGGUUCUGACGUGCAAAUCGAUCGUCGAAUCUGGGUAUAGGGGCGAAAGACCAAUCGAACCGUCUGGUAGCUGGUUCCUGCCGAAGUUUCCCUCAGGAUAGCAGUAACGGAAGCAGUUUUAUGAGGUAAAGCGAAUGAUUAGAGGCCUUGGGGUUGAAACAACCUUAACCUAUUCUCAAACUUUAAAUAUGUAAGAAGUCC
rnacentral:rRNA from 1 species